rnacentral:rRNA from 1 species
UACGAAGGGGGCUAGCGUUGUUCGGAAUUACUGGGCGUAAAGCGCGCGCAGGCGGCUAUCCAAGUCAGGGGUGAAAUCCCGGGGCUCAACCUCGGAACUGCCUUUGAUACUGGCGAUCUUGAGUCCGGGAGAGGUGAGUGGAACUCCGAGUGUAGAGGUGAAAUUCGUAGAUAUUCGGAAGAACACCAGUGGCGAAGGCGG